rnacentral:rRNA from 1 species
CACGUAGGGCGCGAGCGUUGUCCGGAAUUAUUGGGCGUAAAGAGCUCGUAGGCGGCCUGUUGCGUCCGCUGUGAAAGCCCGGGGCUUAACCCCGGGUCUGCAGUGGAUACGGGCAGGCUAGAGGUAGGUAGGGGAGAAUGGAAUUCCCGGUGUAGCGGUGAAAUGCGCAGAUAUCGGGAGGAACACCGGUGGCGAAGGCGGUUCUCUGGGCCUUACCUGACGCUGAGGAGCGAAAGCGUGGGGAGCGAACAGGAUUGAGAACCC